UAGAGUUUGAUCCUGGCUCAGAUUGAACGCUGGCGGCAUGCCUUACACAUGCAAGUCGAACGGUAACAGGUCUUCGGAUGCUGACGAGUGGCGAACGGGUGAGUAAUACAUCGGAACGUGCCCGAUCGUGGGGGAUAACGGAGCGAAAGCUUUGCUAAUACCGCAUACGAUCUACGGAUGAAAGCAGGGGACCGCAAGGCCUUGCGCGGACGGAGCGGCCGAUGGCAGAUUAGGUAGUUGGUGGGAUAAAAGCUUACCAAGCCGACGAUCUGUAGCUGGUCUGAGAGGACGACCAGCCACACUGGGACUGAGACACGGCCCAGACUCCUACGGGAGGCAGCAGUGGGGAAUUUUGGACAAUGGGCGCAAGCCUGAUCCAGCCAUGCCGCGUGCAGGAUGAAGGCCUUCGGGUUGUAAACUGCUUUUGUACGGAACGAAAAGACUCUGGUUAAUACCUGGGGUCCAUGACGGUACCGUAAGAAUAAGCACCGGCUAACUACGUGCCAGCAGCCGCGGUAAUA
rnacentral:rRNA from 1 species